rnacentral:rRNA from 1 species
UACGGAGGGAGCUAGCGUUGUUCGGAAUUACUGGGCGUAAAGCGCGCGUAGGCGGCUUUGUAAGUUAGAGGUGAAAGCCCGGGGCUCAACCCCGGAAUUGCCUUUAAGACUGCAUCGCUAGAAUCCGGGAGAGGUGAGUGGAAUUCCGAGUGUAGAGGUGAAAUUCGUAGAUAUUCGGAAGAACACCAGUGGCGAAGGCGGCUCACUGGACUGGUAUUGACGCUGAGGUGCGAAAGCGUGGGGAGCAAACAGG